UACGGAGGGUGCAAGCGUUAUCCGGAUUCACUGGGUUUAAAGGGUGCGUAGGUGGGCAGGUAAGUCAGUGGUGAAAUCCUGUAGCUUAACUACAGAACUGCCAUUGAUACUAUUUGUCUUGAAUACCCUGGAGGUGAGCGGAAUAUGUCAUGUAGCGGUGAAAUGCUUAGAUAUGACAUAGAACACCAAUUGCGAAGGCAGCUUACUACGGAUUGAUUGACACUGAGGCACGAAAGCGUGGGGAUCAAACAGG
rnacentral:rRNA from 1 species